UACGUAGGGUGCGAGCGUUGUCCGGAAUUAUUGGGCGUAAAGAGCUUGUAGGCGGUCUGUCGCGUCUGCUGUGAAAAUCCGGGGCUCAACCCCGGACUUGCAGUGGGCACGGGCAGACUAGAGUGUGGUAGGGGAGACUGGAAUUCCUGGUGUAGCGGUGAAAUGCGCAGAUAUCAGGAGGAACACCGAUGGCGAAGGCAGGUCUCUGGGCCACUACUGACGCUGAGAAGCGAAAGCAUGGGGAGCGAACAGG
rnacentral:rRNA from 1 species